rnacentral:rRNA from 1 species
UACGGGGGGGAGCAAGCGUUGUUCGGAUUUACUGGGCGUAAAGGGCGCGUAGGCGGUCGUGACAAGUCACUUGUGAAAUCUCCGGGCUUAACUCGGAACGGUCAAGUGAUACUGUCGGACUAGAGUACAGAAGGGGCAACUGGAAUUCUCGGUGUAGCGGUGAAAUGCGUAGAGUAUCGGAAGGAACACCGGUGGCGAAAGCGGCGCGCUGGACCUCUUCUGACGCUGAGGCGCGAAAGCCAGGGGAGCCAAAGCGGG